GACGGAGGAUGCAAGCGUUAUCCGGAAUUAUUGGGCGUAAAGCGUCCGCAGGUGGCUGUUCAAGUCUGCUGUCAAAGCGCAGAGCUUAACUCUGUACAGGCGGUGGAAACUGAAGAGCUAGAGUAUGGUAGGGGUAGAGGGAAUUCCCGGUGUAGCGGUGAAAUGCGUAGAUAUCGGGAAGAACACCAGUGGCGAAGGCGGGUCUCUGGGCCGAUACUGACGCUGAGGAGCGAAAGCGUGGGGAGCGAACAGG
rnacentral:rRNA from 1 species